rnacentral:rRNA from 1 species
UACAGAGGUCUCAAGCGUUGUUCGGAUUCAUUGGGCGUAAAGGGUGCGUAGGCGGCGCGGUAAGUCGGGUGUGAAAUCUCGGAGCUUAACUCCGAAACUGCAUUCGAUACUGCCGGUGCUUGAGGACUGGAGAGGAGACUGGAAUUUACGGUGUAGCGGUGAAAUGCGUAGAUAUCGUAAGGAAGACCAGUGGCGAAGGCGGGUCUCUGGAC